rnacentral:lncRNA from 1 species
CGGGCAAGGGGGCUGGACCCGUGCCACAGGUGGGGUGGGGUGGACUCUGGGCCAGGGCUGGGCUUGUGGCCAGGGCUGGGGGCUGUGCCAAGCCGGGCUUUGGCCUGGGGGCUGGCAGGGAGGGUGCAGGAAGGAGUCCCAGCAGGGAUAAAGGUGCUCCUCACCUGCUGCAGCCUCACCCAGCGUUGCCCAGAGCGAGAGGAAGGUGAAGGUGGCUGUGCUCAGCGUGGCCCUGCUCUUCUCCAUCCUGCUGUGCUCCCCGGCUCAGGCCCAGACACCCCCGGAAGAAACCCAAGAUGAUCUCCUGGAGGUGAGUGGGGUGCUGGCAUUGGAGGGCACCCCCUCAGGGGACUGUGGGGCAGUUCAGCCCCACCAUCCCUUGCUGGCACCUGGGACACCCCAGUGACCAGCGAGGUCUCCUGGUCUCUCUGCAGGUGGAUUUAGACGAUGUGGACGUGGAUGCGGGUUUGCCUCUGGUGGGUACCACGAGUUCUGCCG